GAAGUUUAUACUGGACGACGAUGCUACAUUUAUUCCAGUCGGCUAGCUGCUCAGUGACCACCGUGAGUUUUAAAAUGUCUCCCUCAGUCGUCCAGCUGUGCUGUACAACGGAACCAAGGUCCAGACGGAACAAUACAACUUUAAGGCAACUCAACACAGUAUGUACUGUAGGAGAUGGCUUGACCUGACUCAGCAUGGAGGAGCUCGCAGCCUGAAGAACACCAUGUGGCAGAUAAGAGCUGCAGAUGUCCUGAAUAUUACUGAUCAACACUGAAGAGCUGGUCUUUUCUCUACAGAUGCCUCCUCUGAAGUUGAUCCACACGUGGCCAAGAGUAGAAACACGGACAGUAUUUGCUGAAAUAUGUAUUUAUGGAGAGGACACGCUCGGUGACAUGUUUCCCAUGACUGACCUCCAGACUGGAGAAAGGCCUGAGGACGAGCAACUUGGUGGCUGCCUCUGAAGCAGGAACAUGAGAAAAAAAUGGUCAACUUUUUCACUCAUGCUCCACAAGAGGAAGCAGUGUGAGCAGUACCCUUUGAUGACUAUUUUAUAAUAAACUGUAACUGUUUAAAAUGUGUCUUGUGUUUUAUCC